rnacentral:rRNA from 1 species
UACAGAGGGUGCGAGCGUUGUCCGGAAUCACUGGGCGUAAAGGGCGCGUAGGUGGCUUGAUAAGUAGGGGGUGAAAUCUCGAGGCUCAACUUCGAGGCUGCCUCCUAAACUGUCAGGCUUGAGCAGAGUAGAGGCAGGUGGAAUUCCCGGUGUAGCGGUGGAAUGCGUAGAGAUCGGGAAGAACAUCGGUGGCGAAGGCGGUUCUCUGGGCCUUACCUGACGCUGAGGAGCGAAAGCGUGGGGAGCAAACAGG